rnacentral:rRNA from 1 species
GAUGAACGCUGGCGGCGUGCCUAAUACAUGCAAGUCGAGCGAACAGACGAGGAGCUUGCUCCUCUGACGUUAGCGGCGGACGGGUGAGUAACACGUGGAUAACCUACCUAUAAGACUGGGAUAACUUCGGGAAGCCGGAGCUAAUACCGGAUAAUAUAUUGAACCGCAUGGUUCAAUAGUGAAAGACGGUUUUGCUGUCACUUAUAGAUGGAUCCGCGCCGCAUUAGCUAGUUGGUAAGGUAACGGCUUACCAAGGCGACGAUGCGUAGCCGACCUGAGAGGGUGAUCAGCCGUGCAUGAACUGAAACAAGGUCCGGACUCAUACGGGAGGCAGCCGUAGGGAAUCUUCCGCUAUGGGCGAAAGCCUUACGGCGCAACUCCGCGUGAGUGAUGAAGGUCUUCGGAUCGUAAAACUCUGUUAUUAGGGAAGAAAAAAUGUGUAAGUAACUAUGCACGUCUUGACGGUACCUAAUCAGAAAGCCACGGCUAACUACGUG